rnacentral:rRNA from 1 species
UGGGGAAUAUUGGACAAUGGGCGAAAGCCUGAUCCAGCAAUACCGCGUGUGUGAAGAAGGCCUUCGGGUUGUAAAGCACUUUCAAUUGGGAGGAAAACCUACCGGUCAAUACCCGGUAGCUUGACAUUACCUUUAGAAGAAGCACCGGCUAACUCCGUGCCAGCAGCCGCGGUAAUACGGAGGGUGCGAGCGUUAAUCGGAAUUACUGGGCGUAAAGCGUGCGUAGGCGGUUCGUUAAGUCAGAUGUGAAAGCCCUGGGCUCAACCUGGGAACGGCAUUUGAAACUGGCGGACUAGAGUUUAGUAGAGGGGAGUGGAAUUUCAGGUGUAGCGGUGAAAUGCGUAGAUAUCUGAAGGAACACCAGUGGCGAAGGCGACUCCCUGGACUAGAACUGACGCUGAGGUACGAAAGCGUGGGUAGCAAACAGG